ensembl:lncRNA
CACCAACAUUCCUUACAGUCCAGACCCCAGACUAAUAAAGUGAGGAAUAUAUUGUAAAUUGAAUUCAAGGUUAUCCCGGUUGUAACCUACAGUGUUGGCCUACCGUACUAGCCUACAUCGACGAUGAAACAACAUUGCCAUCAAGCGGACAUUGGACCACACACAUUGUUAUACCAAGCGCCAAGCCAAAGAUUAUGUAUUGAAAAGAGACCGCUCAAACAAUGGAAAUACAUGUCCUCAAAGAUGGAAGCCAGACGGGAGAGGCGAGACAAAAUGGGAUCACUCCUAACUAAUGAGAGGGCAGAUAUGCGUGUGAACAACAGGCAGAACUCCGAUUUAAAGUCCUAUUGUUUCUAAUUGCCAAAAUGCCAGGUGAGUCCACUUAUAUCAGUGCAUUCUUAACAACCUAACCAUUACGGAACUUCUAUUCGAUCAAAUCAACAUCAUGUAGCAAUUAGAUUUUUUUUGUUGACCAAAUUUUACACUCUCUCAUUAUCCUCCAUAUACAACUGUUCAAUGAGUGGUUUUAUUUUGGUGGACAUAUUUCGAGCGGAGUAAAUCCUCUCGCUUUGCCUCUUCCUCUCUGGGCAACAAGCUUCGAAAACACCAGCGAUUGGCUGCUUUCAUGCUGCGUCAUUUCCUGGAAACGACUUUCAACGGGAAGAGAAUAUUUGGCGCGGAAACUUCUGUUGUGUUGAGCUGUGUACCAAGAGAGAGAUGAAGGUUGUCAAUAAAUAGCAAUGGCUCCGGCUUCUAACACAUAGAAGCAUCGCACCUGGCAUUGAUGAGCCUGGAAAGAGUGGCGAUAACAUCAUUAUUGGCAGUGGCAUCUGGGCCCAGUUCCAAACAUGCCUUUCUUGGAAGCUGGAGGUUUGCUUUAAAGGUUAAAGGCAAAGAAGGAAAAUCCUCGUCUGACACGGGGAUGACUGGUCUGGCAGCUCAACAGAGCCAAGGGAGAGAAGGUCAAAUACGAGGUGAUAGUCGCGUGUGUGUGUGUUCGUUGCCCAAGCCCUGUUCCGACAGGUGGCGGAUUUGACCAGUGUGUAUGAAGAGGUGGACGAGGAACUCUCGGAUGGCGAGAGAGGCAGAACGGUGACUGGAUCGUUGAUGAUGUUUUCUUGAAGAUCACUCCGUGACACACACAAUGCAGUGGUUCAGCAGAAGAUGAUGCGCUGUCUGCCGCUGACUUCCCACUCGCCGUCUCUCGCCGCUGUCAUCAAAUGGACUCAUGCUAGCAACAAGUUCUGACUGAGCUCUAUUGUCAUGAAAUGCCAUACAACUGCAGAGUUUCUCUCUUUCUCAUACAAAGUUAUAACGAGGAGCGCCCACAAUGUGUUCUGUGUGGGGAAAGUGCUUACUGAUGAGUCUCUCAUAACGAACAAAUGAGUAAAAGGACACGCCCUGACCAAACAUCCACAGCAUGAUGGUAAACCCAGAGAGUUAUUUCAGAACAGGGCAGAAUGCUUCAGGAAACAGUGGUUCAGGAAACAGUGCUUCAGGAAACAGGGCUUCAGGAAACAGUGCUUCGGGAAACAGGGCUUCAGGAAACAGUGCUUCGGGAAACAGGGCUUCAGGAAACAGUGCUUCGGGAAACAGUGCUUCGGGAAACAGUGCUUCAGGAAACAGUGCUUCGGGAAACAGUGCUUCGGGAAACAGUGCUUCGGGAAACAGUGCUUCAGGAAACAGUGCUUCAGGAAACAGUGCUUCAGGAAACAGUGGAAAAGUAAGUCAGCUAGCAAGACAUUGUUGUCAUUUUAUAACAGGUGAUGGAUGAUAAGCAGAAAUAAGGGAAUACUAGCUAACUCUCAUAGUAGAUGUGAGUUUCUCUUUCAAACAAUCCUCUGGCCUUGUACACAGCUAAUAGCUAACAUUCACCAAAGCAAGCUAGCUACUGAUAGUGCAACCCUCAGUAACAGUCCAGAUGAAAAAUGAUCAGGCCUACUGUUCAUCUUACUGUUGAAAACUAGUCUAGGUUGGAACUGUUGCUGUUAAAAUACAAUAAUAAUUUGUAUUCUUAACUGGAAUAAACUGAUUGAAGCAAGAUGAUAUUUGAGGCAAACACACUCACACAGUUCUGUUUUUAUUUAUUUUUUAUUUCACCUUUAUUUAACCAGGUAGGCUAGUUGAGAACAAGUUCUCAUUUGCAACUGCGACCUGGCCAAGAUAAAGCAUAGCAGUGUGAACAGACCACAGAGUUACACAUGGA